AGAGUUUGAUCCUGGCUCAGGACUAACGCUGGCGGCGUGCCUAACACAUGCAAGUCGAACGAAGUAGCAAUACUUAGUGGCAGACGGGUGAGUAACACGUAGUCAACCUACCUCAGCGUGGGGGAUAACUAGCCGAAAGGUUAGCUAAUACCGCAUACGAUCGCUAAGUGGCAUCAUUUGGCGAUGAAAGGAGUAAUCCGCGCAGAGACGGGACUGCGUCCCAUUAGUUAGUUGGUGGGGUAACGGCCUACCAAGACUCCGAUGGGUAGCUGGCUUGAGAGAGCGACCAGCCACACUGGAACUGAGACACGGUCCAGACUCCUACGGGAGGCAGCAGUGAGGAAUUUUCCGCAAUGGGGGAAACCCUGACGGAGCGACGCCGCGUGUGGGAAGAAGGCCUUCGGGUCGUAAACCACUGUCGAGGGGGACGAUAUUGACGGUACCCCUGGAGGAAGCCCCGGCUAACUACGUGCCAGCCGCCGCGGUAAUAC
rnacentral:rRNA from 1 species